AGUGAACGCUGGCGGUAGGCCUAACACAUGCAAGUCGUACGGCAGCACAGUAAGAGCUUGCUCUUACGGGUGGCGAGUGGCGGACGGGUGAGGAAUACAUCGGAAUCUACUUUUUCGUGGGGGAUAACGUAGGGAAACUUACGCUAAUACCGCAUACGACCUACGGGUGAAAGCAGGGGAUCUUCGGACCUUGCGCGAUUGAAUGAGCCGAUGUCGGAUUAGCUAGUUGGCGGGGUAAAGGCCCACCAAGGCGACGAUCCGUAGCUGGUCUGAGAGGAUGAUCAGCCACACUGGAACUGAGACACGGUCCAGACUCCUACGGGAGGCAGCAGUGGGGAAUAUUGGACAAUGGGCGCAAGCCUGAUCCAGCCAUACCGCGUGGGUGAAGAAGGCCUUCGGGUUGUAAAGCCCUUUUAUUGGGAAAGAAAAGCAGCAGGUUAAUACCCCGCUGUUCUGACGGUACCCAAAGAAUAAGCACCGGCUAACUUCGUG
rnacentral:rRNA from 1 species